GGUCCAGUUCAAGUACCACCAUCUUCCAUUAAAUUUUUCUCUAUUGCAGACAACAAUUUUUCCGGAGAGAUCCCUUCCUUGAUUUGCAGAUUAAAUUCUCCGCAGUAUCUUUAUCUGUCUAAAACAAUAUGAGAAGAAGUAUUCCAAAAUGUUUGGAAACUUUAGCAAUCUCGCUGUCUUGGAUUUGCGAAUGACUAAUUUACAGGGAAGCAUACCGGGAACAUUUGUGGAAGAUAAAAGCCUGAGGAUACUUGACUUGAAUGGCAAUCAAUUGGAUGGGCCAUUACCAAGAUCUUUGGUUAGUUGCAGGAAGUUAGUAAUUUUGAACUUGGGGAGCAGCAAGAUGAUGGAUCUUUUCCCGACUGGUUGGAAGAUCUUCCAGAGCUACGAGCUCUUGUACUGCGAGGCAAUAGAUUCUACGGUCCCAUACCUAACUCAAAAGCUCAAUUCCCCUAUCGUAACUUGUUGGUGAUUGACCUCUCCCACAAUGACUUCACAGGUCCUUUGCCACCAAGAUACUUCCAGCAACUCCAAGAAAGGAAAAAAUGUGGAAUUUUUUAUGAGGUUUUUGUUACAAUCGCAAUCAAAGGGGUGGAUCUUGAGGUGAUUAAAGUACUUGUAUAGUUGCAAUGAUUGAUUUGUCAAAUAAUCCAUUGAAAGGAGAGGUUUCUAAAAAUAUCGGAGAGCUCGAGCAUCUAACAAGGCUUAGAGGGUGUUUGUGGUCAAAUCAA
rnacentral:misc_RNA from 1 species